rnacentral:tRNA from 1 species
GGAGAGGUGCCGGAGCGGUCGAACGGGGCGGUCUCGAAAACCGUUGUACGGGCAACCGUACCCAGGGUUCGAAUCCCUGUCUCUCCG